GAUGAAGAACGUAGCGAAAUGCGAUGCUUGGUGUGAAUUGCAGAAUCCCGUGAACCAUCGAGUCUUUGAACGCAAGUUGCGCCCGAAGCCAUUAGGCCGAGGGCACGCCUGCCUGGGCGUCACACGUCGUUGCCCCCCCAUCUACUCCUUCGGGAUUGCGGGGGGCGGAUGAUGGCCUCCCGUGCGCCUCGUCGCGCGGUUGGCAUAAAUGCCAAGUCCUCGGCGACGCACGCCACGACAAUCGGUGGUUGCGAAACCUCGGUUGCCCGUCGUGUGCGGUCGUCGCGCAUCGAGGGCUCGAAAAAAUUGCCGGGCUCCGGCUCGGCUUUCAACGCGACCCCAGGUCAGGCGGGGUUACCCGCUGAAUUUAAGCAUAUCAAUAAGCGGAGGA
rnacentral:misc_RNA from 1 species